UGGGGAAUUUUGGACAAUGGGGCGAAAGCCUGAUCCAGCAAUGCCGCGUGUGUGAAGACGGCCUUCGGGUUGUAAAGCACUUUUGUCCGGAAAGAAAAUCCUUGGCUCUAAUACAGUCGGGGGAUGACGGUACCGGAAGAAUAAGCACCGGCUAACUACGUGCCAGCAGCCGCGGUAAUACGUAGGGUGCAAGCGUUAAUCGGAAUUACUGGGCGUAAAGCGUGCGCAGGCGGUUUGCUAAGACCGAUGUGAAAUCCCCGGGCUCAACCUGGGAACUGCAUUGGUGACUGGCAGGCUAGAGUAUGGCAGGAGGGGGGUAGAAUUCCACGUNUGAGCAGUGAAAUGCGUAGAGAUGUGGAGGAAUACCGAUGGCGAAGGCAGCCCCUGGGCAAUACUGACGCUCAUGCACGAAAGCGUGGGGAGCAAACAGGAUUAGAU
rnacentral:rRNA from 1 species